UACAGAGGGUGCGAGCGUUGUCCGGAAUCACUGGGCGUAAAGGGCGCGUAGGUGGUGGCUUAAGCGUGCGGUGAAAGCUCGGAGCUCAACUCCGAGUCGGCCGUGCGAACUGGGCUCACUGGAGCAUAGUAGAGGCAGGUGGAAUUCCGGGUGUAGCGGUGGAAUGCGUAGAGAUCCGGAAGAACACCGGUGGCGAAGGCGGGUCUCUGGGCAGUAACUGACGCUGAGGAGCGAAAGCGUGGGGAGCGAACAGG
rnacentral:rRNA from 1 species